rnacentral:miRNA from 1 species
UCGCGGCAGGGAGGUUCACAA